CCCUUAGAUGUUCUGGGCCGCACGCGCGCUACACUGAUGCGUUCAACAAGUUUCCUUGGCCGAGAGGCCUGGGCAAUCUUCUUAAUAUGUAUCGUGAUAGGGAUAGAUUAUUGCAAUUAUUAAUCUUGAACGAGGAAUUCCUAGUAAACGCAGAUCAUCAAUCUGCAUUGAUUACGUCCCUGCCCUUUGUACACACCGCCCGUCGCACCUACCGAUUGGAUGUUCCGGUGAAGCCUCGGGAUGAGGACUGGUGCCUUUAUUGGCAUGAGUUGUUCAGAACUUGUCUAAACCUUAUCAUCUAGAGGAAGGUGAAGUCGUAACA
rnacentral:rRNA from 1 species